rnacentral:lncRNA from 1 species
GGUCACAAAUGCACUUUUGAUUUAACUAAAAUCUGCUUUGCGUAUAGGGUGUCCACUACUAAUAUAUCACUAUUUUCUAAUGACAUAUACAUGGGUACAAUAGAAUUUUUGCCGAACUUUACUGGUGUCAGUGACCCCUCUACCUAUAACUUAGGACCGCCUCUAUUCAAAACUCUGUGGAUCUCCACUUAAUUUGUCACGACCCAAAUCAGAGGGCCGCGACGGGCACCCGGUGCUUUACUCAACCGAGUACCAACGUAACAUAUCUUUCUUAUCAUACUAUCGUGAGUAAAUGAGCCAGAAAACCCGUUAUGAGAUAACAAGAAUAAAACAUAAGGGAAUACUCAACAUAUGAAGACCCAAAAUGAUAUACAAACUUAUAUAUGUGACAUACGGGCCUAUAAGGCCGACAUGACCAUUUGUAAACUCAAAACAUAGGCCGACAAGGCCAUAUAAGUAUCCCUACACCUGACAUCUGUCUACAAGCCUCUAAGAGUACAUAAAAUCAUAAAGGUCGGGACAGGGCCCCUCCAUACUAAUCAAUACAUAUCCAAAGCAUACUGACCAAAUAGGCAACUCCGGAGCAAGUGGAGUGCACCAACACCUUCGCUGAGCUGAUAGCCUACUAGGAGGACUGUCAACCUAUCAAUUGGGACCUGCGGGUAUGAAACGCAUCGUCCCUAAGCAAAAGGGACGUCAGUACGAAUAAAGUACCAAGUAUGUAAAGCAGGAAAGCAUAAACAAGAACAGUAAUGUAAAGAGAGAUAGAGGAGAUACAACCUGUAACAUCUGAGUGCCUCUGGUGGCUACUGACAUAAUAUGCAUAAUACAUAUAUAUACAUGAACUUUUUAAAAACAUUCACCUCUGUGGGCAUCAUCAUCAUCAUAUCGUACCCGGCCUCAUAGAGGACUCGGUAAAAAUGUACCCGGCCAUCAUAAGGCUCGGUAGAAUCGUACCCGGCCACGUGGAGCUCGGUAAACCCAACUGAUCAGUGGUUGCACAAUAGGUGCCAUACUCGACCGACUAUAGCGCGGCUCGGUAAAGUAAAAUAGAUACAUAUAUAUAAUACAUGCUCGACUCAUGUAAUCAUGUUCUAAACCUUUCGGAGUGACGUAAGGUUGUUGCACCUUCGAUUAGCAUUAUGGACAUCAUACCAUAAAUAUGAACUUCACAAGGACUCAAGGAUUAUACAUACUUUCUUAGAAUAACUUUGUACGGAAAGAACAACAUGGACAACAUUAGUUGCUAGGAGUAGAUUCAUUAUGAAAUAGCAUAUCGUUUAUGUUCAUUUCAUUUUGAUCAUGCCAAAAAAAAGAAAAAAGUGCCUUAACAUACCUGAGUAGGGAAAAAUCUGUAUGAUGUUCUUGCAGAUAGUUAUUCAGUUAUGCGUGGGUGUAGUUUUAGGAGUCCAAUGAUCUACUAUCCCAUAUUUGGUAAAAAUAACAGCUUUCUAUAGUCUUCUUUACCAUCAUUAAAUCUCCAGAUCCAUUUGAUAAGUAUACUACCAAACUUCUAUUUGAAACUUGAGAUUCUUCACUCCCAUGCCACCACUUUCUUUAUUAAUCACCACAUGUUGCCAUUGGCAGAUGCUUCAUUCUCCUUUCACAAAGACAUGCCGAACCAGAAUAUUCCACAGAAAUAAUUAUACAGAUUGGGAAGCCAAAGGAAUUACUUGAGAACUUGACCUCCAACCAUUAACAAUCUCCUCUAGACAUGGACCAACCAAUGAAUCGAGAGAGAGGGAGAGGAUUCAGCCGUAUAUAUAAUAUGACAAGUUUCCUCAUAUGCCUAAUCUUAUUCUAUUUGGCUGAGCAGCUAUAGUUGUUUGACUUCGAUUUCUUAUUGGCUAGGAGUUGGUUUACUUCAAUGACACAGAAGUGCGUAGAGUAAAUAGUCAGCUUUGAGAUGGUACAUGUAAAUAGCACCAAAAUAACAAGUAUACAAGAUCAACCUUCCUGUUCAUAGGAUAACCUUUAUUUACAAUAUAAGAUAUGCUAUUCAAGGAUUUUUAACAGAAACGGCUUCGACAAGCAGAAUUCAAAAGGAAGCGUAAGAAAGAGAUAAUCUUCACCAUUUAAUAAUUAAAGGAAAAGUAUCCAUCCAACACAUUGUCUCUCCACCUAAUUAAAAAUAAGUAAGAGUCAUAUCUCUUACGAGGUCCAACCGAGAGGUUGUGAGUUCGAGUCUCUCCAAGAGCAAGGUGGGAAGUUCUUGGAGGGAAGGAUGCCGGGGGUCUAUUUGGAAACAGUCUCUCUAUCCUAGGGUAGGGGUAAGGUCUGCGUACACACUACCCUCCCCAGACACCACUAAGUGGGAUUAUACUGGGUUGUUGUUGUUGUUGUUGUUGUC